rnacentral:lncRNA from 1 species
UAAAAUUUAAGGGGUUAAAAUAAAAUCAAAAGAAACUAUGGGAUUUGAACUAAAUAAAACUUCAUUCACUUUCAAACAACAACCUUGCAACUAUUUCUCUUUUCUUUUAUUUUUAUUCUUCUUCCUUCUUUUUUUAGAAGGAAUAUGUAUUGUCAUCCUUCUUUUUUUUCCAUUUUUUUUCUUUUCUGCUAACUUUUGAAGUAUCACAACUAUAAUAAUUCAACCUCAUACAACUCCAAAUAAGACUCCUUCAAUCCUUU